AAUAUUGGACAAUGGGCGAAAGCCCGAUCCAGCAAUGCCGCGUGAGUGGUGAAGGCCUUAGGGUUGUAAAGCUCUUUUACCCGGGAUGAUAAUGACAGUACCGGGAGAAUAAGCCCCGGCUAACUCCGUGCCAGCAGCCGCGGUAAUACGGAGGGGGCUAGCGUUGUUCGGAAUUACUGGGCGUAAAGCGUACGUAGGCGGCUUUGUAAGUUAGAGGUGAAAGCCCGGAGCUCAACUCCGGAAUUGCCUUUAAGACUGCAUCGCUUGAAUCAUGGAGAGGUUAGUGGAAUUCCGAGUGUAGAGGUGAAAUUCGUAGAUAUUCGGAAGAACACCAGUGGCGAAGGCGACUAACUGGACAUGUAUUGACGCUGAGGUACGAAAGCGUGGGGAGCAAACAGGGUUAGAUACCCUGGUAGUCCACGCCGUAAACGAUGAUGACUAGCUGUCGGGGCGCUUAGCGUUUCGGUGGCGCAGCUAACGCGUUAAGUCAUCCGCCUGGGGAGUACGGCCGCAAGGUUA
rnacentral:rRNA from 1 species